rnacentral:rRNA from 1 species
GAGUGGCGAACGGGUGAGUAGCGCGUAUGUAAUCUAUCCUUGAGUUCGAGAUAACCCCGGGAAACUGGGGCUAAUACCGGAUGAAGCAGAGAUGUUAAAGGGGGGCAACUUCCGCUUGAGGUUGAGCCUGCGUCCUAUCAGCUGGUUGGUGGUGUAACGGACUACCAAUGCGACGACGGGUAGCUGGUCUUAGAGGAUGAUCAGUCACACUGGCACUGAGACACGGGCCAGACUCCUACGGGAGGCAGCAGUAGGGAAUAUUGCGCAAUGGGGGAAACCCUGACGCAGCGACGCCGCGUGAGUGAUGACGGCCCUAUGGGUUGUAAAGCUCUGUAAGGAGGGAAGAACCGGUUGGUGUAACGGCCAGCUCUGACGGUACCUCCAAAGUAAGGACCGGCUAAAUACGUGCCAGCAGCCGCGGUAAUACGUAUGGUCCGAACGUUGUCCGGAAUGACUGGGCGUAAAGGGUGCGUAGGCGGAAAUACAAGUCAGGUGUGAAAUCCCCGGGCUCAACCUGGGAACGGCGCUUGAAACUGUAUUUCUUGAGUAUGUCAGAGGUAAGCGGAAUUCCCGGAGUAGCGGUGAAAUGCGUAGAGAUCGGGAAGAACACCGGAGGCGAAGGCGGUCUGCUGGGUCUCAUCUGACGCUGAGGUGCGAAAGCGUGGGGAGCGAACGGGAUUAGAAACCCCGGUAGUCCACGCCGUAAACGAUGCAAACUAGAUGUUAGACACCGAGAGGUGUUGAGUGUCGCAGCUAACGCGAUAAGUUUGCCGCCUGGGGAGUACGGUCGCAAGGCUAAAACUCAAAGGAAUUGACGGGGGCCCGCACAAGCAGCGGAGCGUGUGGUUUAAUUCGAGGCUACGCGAAGAACCUUACCUGGAAGUGACAUCAUAGUAGUAGAGAAACGAAAGUGGAUCGACCUUCGGGAGCUAUGACAGGUGCUGCAUGGCUGUCGUCAGCUCGUGCCGUGAGGUGUUCGGUUAAGUCCGAAAACGAGCGCAACCCUUGGCGUUAGUUACAAGUGUCUAGCGCGACUGCCCGGGGAAACUGGGAGGAAGGUGGGGAUGACGUCAAGUCAGCAUGGCCUUUAUAUCCAGGGCUACACACACGCUACAAUGGUCGGUACAAUAGGCAGCCAAGCCGCGAGGCGGAGCGAAUCCGAUAAAGCCGAUCACAGUUCGGAUUGUAGGCUGCAACUCGCCUGCAUGAAGCCGGAGUUGCUAGUAAACGCGGAUCAGCCACGCCGCGUUGAAUACGUUCCCGGGCCUUGUACACACCGCCCGUCACGUCAUGGAAGCUGGUCACGCCUGAAGUCGGUGAGCUAACC